UUUUUUUUUUAGCUACUCGAGAACUUUUCAUAGAUGAACUUUUUAACAAAUGUUUUCAUUUACAGGAAAACGCAAAGAAAAUUUUGAAACGAUGGUCUUUCUUUUUAAUUAUUAUUUUAAGUGUUUUUUGUAAGACAAAAAUUGAAGUUUUUUUAAGGUUCUGGCAAGAUUUGAAGUCUGAUAUUGAAGUCAUGAUAUUUAUUUUUAAAAACCUGUCACUACCAGAAACGGUGGUACCUCCUGCCCUUUGACUCUCAUACCGUGAAAGUUGAGUCCGUGCUGUUUGAGAGUGGGUAGGUGGCGGGGUAGGCUACUGUCCGGGGCAUCACCCAGUGCUAUCCCCUCCUCCUUUCAAGAUUAUUCACCAUGAGGUAAAAGAGCCAAGUUCAGAAGUACCCUAGCACCCAGUUUGCUUGGGUUGGUUUUUUGUUUUUGUUUUUCCUGGAAAACAUUCAGUGAGAGAAGUAAUAGAUUGAAAACAAAUGAAUUCUCAACUUCUAUGUUGACCAUGUAGAGAGUUCAGACAUAAUGUCUGUCGAUGUCAUCACUGAACCACAGACUUGCGCCGCCAGAUCGCGAGGAAAACUGUCGCCAAGUUUCAAGUGGCAGAUUCACGUCCCAGGGUUCAGAGGUGGCAAACUUCUCAGUGGCAGCUGUGCUCGGUCAUGCUACGUUUCCUGCAGACUCUUAAGAUCUACGGGGUAGUGAACAAUGACCUCAUUUUAUUUUCUAUGUUAGUUAUUUAUUUCAAAAUUUACAUUUUAGUUUAUUUUCGUCUGUAAAGCGUAUGUUUCGCACUGCUCUUUUACUCUGAGGGUUUAAACAAUAUUUCUCCAGGGGUUUCCUCACUGAGAACCCAUGCAGUCUACUUAAUGCUGUGAAUCACAUUUUCCAAAUGUUUAAUUUUUUAAAGAAAAUUAAUAUUCUAUUUUUGUUAGGUGUCUCUAGGAAUGCAGCUUUUUUAUUUAUUAUCCUGUUUCUUUCAAAACCCGUAACAGUGACACGUUAAAGGUACAAAACUGUCCUAUCUGAUGGAAAAGUCAUCCUGAUGAAAACAGAGUUCGUUGCCUGUAAGCCCACUUGCUUCUCACUUCAUCAGACAAGCUCAAUACACACAAGAUAGUAAUUUAAUGGGAGCUGUUAGGCUGGUCCACACGUGAAGAGAAACAAUUUCUAGCCUUCUUGCCAAAUCCAGACCUCUGGUUGACUUUUCUUUCAUAGAAGAUGGAGUUAUCUUCCAGUUUUCCAACUUAAAUUUAUUUAGCCUUUAUAUUAUUUUGUUUUAAUAUAUAUAUAUAAAUACCUUAGAAGAGCCAUAGCCAGCCUUCAGUUAUAACCACUCGACCCCCAUACCUCUUAUUGUUUCUACAGAAUCUAAUGGGGAAAAAUGCUUCACAAAACUGUCACUGAUCCAUUGGCUCUGAUUCCUACACAAUCUGGCAGGCACCCUCCUGCACCCCUGUCCUCAGUGAUGGCCACGGAGCCGAGCCGAGGACACCAGGGUGAAGUACAUUUGCUUUACAAGGGGCUCCUGACCUCCCAGGCACCUCUCCUACCUGUGUGGCUAAUCUGAUCUUGCUAGUUCCAUACAUACACAAUUAGUUUAGAGGUAGCCACCACAAUGGGACCGUGUACAUUUGUGGUGAAAGCUAAAAACCGACACAGACUUCUAGAAGAUUUGUGCAUACGAUUCUUAAUCCAAUUGUAUAGAUUGAAUAUUUGAGUGGAAGGCAUUUCCACCCUGUUUAAAUGAUGGAAUUCUAUUGAGCUAGCACUCCUGAUCAUGACCUUUUUAGUAGUAUUUGUAAACAAAAUUCUACAGAGACUAAAUCUUAGCGAUAAUCCUCCAUUUCAAUUUUAACCAAUUCUGUCCUCUUUUUCCAAACCCCGAACCCCAUGCAUGCUUUCUCAGUCUUGUGAUGGGACUGGACACAGUGACCGACCCCUCGCCCAAACACCAUUUUCCAUGGAAUUCAAAAGAAAAUUUUUUUCCCUUAACGUUACAUAUCAUAGUGAAUGGUUUCCCCAGUGUAUAUGAAUGUUUUAAGUGUUUCCAAUAGCUUAUGAAAUUUAGGAGCUUUCUAAUACUCGUUUUAUAAAUUUAAUCAUUUGCUAAUGGAAAUUUUACCACCUCCCACUUCUGUUACAAAUCUUAGCUCCCGGAGCGGCGCUACAAUUCCAGAGUUGUUCUGCUCACCCCCCUCUGUCAUUUGUCACAGGAGGUCCCUGCUUGGCAAUGACAUUUGUGAGUUAGGAUAAUGACUUUCCUUCUCUUCUUUUUUUCCUUUCGUACUUAAGAUUUAGGAGAAAAAGAUUCUGUUUCCACCUGAGAGGAACUGUAAGCUUUUAUCAUUUAACCAGCUGAACACCACACCAAAAGCAGCCUACGGAUGAGCACCGCUUUGGUAGCAAUUAGGUUUUAUUCACCUGGUAUUAAAACUAUUCACUAUUUCAAAACAAAAACAAAAACCGAGACUUUAUGAAUUCAUUUCAAGGCAGCAUCAAAAAACUGAAAAGGAAGGAAAACAACAACAGCUAAUAAUCGGCUUCUCCGCACGUGUGGAGCUCCGGAGAAACAGGCGCCCCGGAGAAGUGGCUCUGCUCAGCCGCCCGCCCACGCCGCGCCGCCGGUCCUUGCUUUCCCGCAUGCGCCCGCCCGCGGCAACGUGCAGUCCUACGUCCGGCUGCGGAGAAGUCCACUCUCUCUCUUGUUAUGAAUGGUGUUUGUGUCGGUCUGCAGCUGUGUAUGGUAUUAUGUCUUAUAAUCCUGCAUCACUUCCAUCCUAUCCAGUCAUAUCUAAUGUAGAAAAAUUAGUUUCCAGUGAAAGUAAUAUGUAGUGCUUUUAUGAUAUUUGUGUGCAAUAUCCCCUCUUCUAUCAAGGAUAUUUGAUGUAAAGGAAAAACAAACAAACAAACAACAGAAACUCAGUUCCACAAUAAAAUACAAAGUGGCAAAAGUUCACUCAUGUGUUGAGACAUC
rnacentral:lncRNA from 1 species